GGGCCUCGAAUCUUUCCUGUGUGAUCAAUUCAUCCACGCGAUCUCUCUGCAUCCCCGCUCCCCUUCUUCCUUCCACUCGUGCCCUAGGCCUAAUCGCCGUACUGACGAUGACGGCUAGUGAUGCUUUGGGUUGCUGCCACCACCCCUACUGCUCCCGGUCCCUCUGGUUGUGUUCAUCAAGGUUCCAGUCAACUGAUUCAGGCAAAUGUUGGGUGUUGGUACUCAUCGAGCCGCCGAUCUUCAAUCCGAUCCAUUCAAGUCAAGCUUGACUGAUCGAUGCAGGGCGAACCAAGGCGGGCCUGACUGAUUGAUGCAGGGCGAAGCAAGGCCGGGCUCAAUUUUUGUUGGUUCUAUCGAUGGCGGUAACGGCCUCACUCGACUCUUCCUUGGCGUUGACACUUGACAUGUGGUGGAUUUUCACGUCCCUAUGCGCCUUCCUCUAAUCACUAGUUUAACAUGGAUUGAUUGGUCGAGGAGAGUAUGUCAACAAGAUAUGAUGCUAGAAACAUGGAGUUCCCCAGGGAGUCAGCUCGAUGUACUACAGUAACCUCGGCUGAUCUUAUCUUCGCAACCUCUGAAUGGCUUUACGACUUGCAAAUUAGGAUCCCUGAUUAUAUUGCUAUGUUUUGAUACAUGGUUGUACCUUCCGAAACCUGUGUUGGAUGCUUCGGGUGUUGUCUUCCUCAAUGAGAAAUCGUUCCAUGCACCCGGCAACAGUAAGAACAGACUUCAGAACUUAUGUUAGAACAGUCUUAACUGGAACAGAAUUAACUAAACUCUUGGUCCGAUAUGUAAUUUGUGAUAAAAUCUUACCUUCUUUUGGUUUUCUAACAAAUGUCUUGGCUCUGUUUUGUUUGGAGCCACCCGGUAGUUCUAUGCUGCUGCACAAAUACAUUGUGCUUUUUAGGACUGAAUUUUUUUCAUCGUAUCAAUUCUUCUGGAUGAUGUUCUAUUUGCUCAUUUUUUAAACUCAUGGAAUGAAAACAUUUUAUUCUCAACUCUAAUUUUAAAACUGGAUAUGUUUUUUCAUUACCAGAAAAUAUUCUGCUCUCUCAUUUCCAACCAAAAUAUAUAUCUUUAGUAAGUAUUUAACUUUCACCUUGCAUACCUUCAUGCAUUUUAUAAAUUCGUACUGUUCCAUAUACUCAUAUAAAUUCCUGUAUUAAGGUAGUCUUUAAUGCGAUCGAUUAUCUAACUUUUCUCCUGCUCUGUUUACAAGUAUGCAGGGCUCAUAUCUCAAGUAUGGUCGAAGCAUUGCUGUUAGGCAAGGUGGUUAAUUGUGUCCAGAUUAUUGAUGGGUGGUUUUCAUCCUUAACUGUAGCUUCACCAAAGUUGGAUUGUUGCACGCUUGCAGAUACGCGUAGUUUCAGUUUGGCUUGUGAUAUUGGUAUUUUAUAAAAAAUAAUUCCACACUUGAUGUAGAAAGAUCAUUCCGAAAUGAGCACGUUCCAUGUAAUCUGGGUGGCACUCAACCAUAUAUUCUAUGUACAGAACUCUCCGUUUGCACAACACUGGAACAUUGGUAACAUAUUUUGACUCCGGUAUUUCCUCUCUGGUCUGAUGUACGUCAUCUCAGUCUACGGAAAAUAAAAGUUUACCCAAAUUAUUAUAGAACCGAUUAAUUAAAAUUUCCAUUUGACUUCCAUCUUUACCCAUUGGCUUAUUUUAGUGAUGUUGAAUAUGGUUACUGCUUCCAUUUUUUCUCCCAUGAACAGAUGAAGCUUCGAUAAUUUGUGAACCUGCAUGCUGCUAUGGUGUUCCACCAAAUUGGAAAUAUGUUCCUACAUUUCCAUGGAAGUGUUUCGUGUAUUUCGUAUGCUUUGAUUUACAAUUAGCUUGGCAAUUACAUCAAUCAGGGUGCACGGACAUUGAACUAUAGAGAGUAUGCAUUUAAUAGAUUAUUGAAGCUCUUAUGAAGUAGCGAUUGACUAAAACCAGGGGCAAGAUGAGGAUUUGUUUGCUUGAACAACAGAGAUUGCUUGGAUUAAGUGGGGUGUAGAUGUUCUUGUUGUCUAUAUCUGAAAUGAAAAACCUGAUGAAGAUCCUUCUGAGGAAAGGUUCUCUUUGACUGUUUGUUCUUUGAACUCUUUUCCCGUCUCCUUAUAUUCAUGUCUUAAUUCUAUUUUUGGGUAGGCGUUAGAUGUGCCUCUUCUCGCACUGCACAGGGCCAUCAACAGAGAAGCCAAACAAGCAACACUGCAGUAGGAAAAACAAUGAUACACGGCGCUCUCCCAGUGUGCGCGCCCAAUAUAAUGUAAAAAUGGUAGUAGCUUCUUGUUAUUCAGAAAGUAAAUGUAGACAUUUGUUGUAAGAUUCCAGUACAGGUAAGAUUUUGAGGUGAGAUAGUAGCCGUGUUAUAUUUAUAAAACAAAGUUCUGUACUCGGUCUAAUGUUUCGUGCCUCACGAAUGAAUUCAGGUAAAGGCAACAACUGCUAGCUGCUCUGCCGCAGGUGCAAAGACAAACUUAAUCCUUUGCUGAAAACAAUUGCACUACGCACUAGCACAAUCACCUGUAGGCAAGGGUGAAGCCAGUAGUCAAUGGGUCAUCUCCAUACUCCAGGUUUUGAAGGCAAGAGAUUCAAAGUCGGGCUGUAAUCUCAUUGGGGUCGUUUCUUAUCAUCAUUGGGGACUGCAUGUUUUCAACAGACCAUUUUUAUCUCAUAUCCAGUAGUUUUGAUGGCAAAUAGACACUGCUUUACUUUAACUUUUUUGUGUGGGCGUGUCCUUUUAUUACGUUGGAACUUGGAAGUGGUAUGUUGGUGUUGCAUUUGUGACACUAAAAGUUGUACUUGCUAAUGAUACCAGGUGGUAUCUUGAGAAUGUGUUAUUUCCUUGAAAUAAUCACCAUUGUUUUGUCACUUGGUCUUUAUCACAUAUUGGUAUACACUAGAACAUAGUAACAGGCUUGCCGAUCAAAACAUCUGUUGACGGCUUGUUCAUCUUGUAUAUUACUUAAAACCAGAUGGACACUGAGCCUGAA